UUUUUUUUUUAAUUUGUGCUUUAUUUUUUUUUUUUUUUUUUUUUUAAAGUCCUUCUUAUUAUCCUAGUUCAGCCAUCAACUGCUGUCACUGGAGAAAAUGCCUAAAACCACUUAGCAUGAUAGCAGCUUAUUCUUCAAAACCAAGCCUCGAUGCCCUCUUGAAGAGAAGCGGCAUGUCCUCUGAAAGAGAGGUUCUUCAAAUCCAAGUGAGCCUGUGGUCCUGGUAGCCUUCUGUGCCUGCAGCCCUCUGCCCUUUGACCUGCAAGCCCAGUGGCCAGGGUCUGCAGCCUCCAGGCCCAAAUCACUGAGCUGUGUCAGUUUCCACAAGGACAUUCAGCAUAGGGUUUUGGAGAGAUGAUAUCACCUUAUUUUGAACUGGAUCGUCCCCAAGAGAUUGAAGGGAAUAAUCCUGGCCAGCUCUUCUCUCUUUGCUAUAAGAAACCUCUUUGGCUUGUGUCCAAAUGGAGACAUAUUCCAGCUCUUUCCUUCUCCCAUGGUGUGAUGAUUUGUCACCGCCCUCAGAACUAAUCCCAAGGGCACAGUGCUUCCCUCCAGUGCAGUAAGGGCAGCAGGGAGAGAAACAAUGGCACUGGAUGGGUGGAGGUGGGUCGUGCCCAGCCAACAGGUCACUGCCACGGAAGCUGGUUCCCAGAGCCUUGAAAGGCUUAUUGCCACCUACCCCCAGAAAGAAGAAAGGGGCCUCUCUGACACAGAGAUGGACAUCUUAGGUAAAAUAUACAUAUAACUAGCUUGAGGGAAUGUUCUUUGGCAAUGGUGCAUGCCUGCUGGGAAGGAUGAGUUGGUAGUCACCUGUGCUGGUCUCAGCCACCUUUUGUUCUUCAAGGGGGGCUUGCUGGGAUUUGAGCUGGAUAAAAGCAGGAUUUGGCCACAAUUCACAGCAGCCCCAGGCAGUAGGAAAUGCGGAUUGCUGUUUUUAGGCAGGUAACCAGGAAGGUAGACUGCCCAAGCCCCCAUGUAAGCACCACCUCAGGAGCACAUACCCCCUUCCUUCCAAGAAACUACCUUGUCUUACAGCUCUGACAUCCCUUCUGAACCCUAAAAUCUUCCUGGUCUCUUCGUAGGGGUCAGAGUGAAAAAUGGUAAGCAGAGAAUGUGCUGUUUUACUUUACAUGAGCUGGCCAGCCUGGCCCACUCACGGAGACGCCCUCAUCUUGUAUUACCUGCUCAGGAGAUCACCCUUCCGACAAUGCUCAGUGAAGAGGGUAUGAAGCCAUCAUCUCAGGUGGAUUAUUCCCACACAGAAAUGUCAGCCCAGGGGCCAGAGCAGGGCCUCAUGCACUAAACCAUGGAGCCUGCUAGGCAGGGUUCCCGGGGUCAUAAAAGCCUUUCACGGACACUCCCAAUGGACCACCUGUUGCUGCUGAACUUCACCGGGUAACUUCUGGUGAGAGCCCCAUGACUGUGUCCCCUGCCCUGAGGUCAUCUUGUAGGAGGGGCAGAAACGGGGAAGCCACAAUCCUGGUUCCUGUGGGUAGGUCCUGUGUGCCAGCCACCUCUUAGCAGCCACCUGCUACCAAGACAAAUGUGGAAGAGGAGACAGCAUCCCAUGAUGCAUGCACAUUUGUGCACUUGGGCACACACACACACAAGCAUCUUCCAUUCAUAGCGUGGCCUUUCUGAAGCAGAAUGGACUUCUAGCUAGCUCUAAAGUAGGCUGAACCUAAGAGGGCCCAACUGCGUGGCAGUCGAGGCUCCAGGCCAAGGCAGGAUCCGAGUUGAGGAUCUUGUGCCAAUGAACAGCCUGGUGUGUGGAAGACUACAGUUGGAUGGAAUGGUCUCCAAAGUAGGCAGAUAGACCAGCCCCCCGGAUCCAGGACAGGGGUCAUCUGGAGUGCCCAAUGCAAGUGUGGGGCUGCCUCCUGCAACCCAUGAAAUGAGAAUGAAGCUGCAGGUGUCCAUGUCCACACGUGCGAGAGUGGGAAGGGAAGGGAGUCGGACGUUCAGGCAUGAAGCUCAUCCCUGCUCUUCCCUGACUUUGGAGGAAGCCUUAAGCAAAUCACUUACUUAGUCUGUGCAUUAACCAACCCACAGGAUUGUGGGGGGGCAGGAUGUCCAAGGGUUUGAGAUUCUGAAUCAGGGCCUUUGUAGAUGGACAGACAUCCUUCAUGAUGGUAACUAAUGUUCACCUUGAAGAAACCUGGGGAGGACUGAGGGAAGCCGGUCCCAGCACCUUUAAGGGCUGGCUGCCAGCUACCUAGGUUCAUCGCACAUCUAUCUGGUGAGCCAGCGGAGUUGUGCAUUUAUUUUUAAUUACUUAAAAUGCUGGGCUGAAUCUUGUUUCCUCUCAGGAACUUAACUUACUCAACACAGGUUGCUGUAGAUAGGCAAUGUGCCCAGAACCUCAGAUGGGUGGCUGCUGGGUGCUUGCCUGAGGCCAGGUGAUGCUGAGCUUGAGUCAGCACUCAGUGCCUUACUGGGAACAAACCAGCACCCUCAGCUCAAGAGAACAGCCCCAUCUUUUCCCUCCUGCCCCAUUCCACAGCCACCAGCCACCUUCAUCUUAAGGCAGCUCCAGCACACCCGCUCUCCCAACAGUGGCUCCCAGCAUAUGCCCUGGGUCUCUGGGCCUCCAGAGUCAUUAUCAGGGAUAUGGGAUUCGUGCAAGUGAAAGCUAGUAUGUAUCAGUGUUACGAUGCUGAUCAAGAGCCAGAAGAGGGAUCCCUGGGUGGCGCAGCAGUUUGGCACCUGCCUUUGGCCCAGGGCGCGAUCCUGGAGACCCGGGAUCGAAUCCCACGUCGGGCUCCCGGUGCCUGGAGCCUGCUUCUCCCUCUGCCUGUGUCUCUGCCUGUCUCUCUCUCUGUGACUAUCAUAAAUAAAUAAAAAUUAAAAAAAAAAAAGAGCCAGAAGAGCAAGGGUUCACUUAACACCCGAGACAACUGGGACACCAAAGUGACAGGAAAGCAUGAGUUUUUCUGGGUAGAGAAGCCCGGAUGAAUACCCAGGGUAAGGCAAUGAGGCCUUCAGGCUGUCUCCCCAAGAGUUCAGAUGCCAGGUCUUUCCUGUGGGCAGGAAAAAAAAAAAGGAAGCAUCUGACAGCCAACAACCCCUUCCCCAGAUGCAUUUUAUUUAACAUUUUUUAAGAAUGCUUUUAAGGACUUAAGUACCAUUUUAAGAUGCAACCAGGGCCGGACUUACUUGGUACCAGCCUUCAUAUUGGGACAAUACUGUUUCUGGCCCUAGUCAUUAAUGUUUUAGGUCUCCAUCACAUUGUUCUCAAAGCCACCUAUAACAGUCUAGGCGGGGAGGCAGGAGGGGCUGGCACGGAGGGUCGUGCCUGAGGCUGGAAGGUGCUGGCCCUGGGUCAGCACCUGGUGCCUUAUACCAGUUUGGGAACAAACCAACACAAGUCGGGAGGACACCCUGCUCUUUUCCCUGCUGCCUCAUGUACAGCCCAGGGGGUCAGAGCUGGUAGAGAGGCAGUGACCCCAGAGUGUCUCUUCUGAAUAAAUCACCCCAAUGUGGCCUUGGACCCUGUUCCUGGAAGAUGCAGAGAGCAGCCCCGGGACCCUGCCAAGUUCUCCUGGGUGAAGAUAGAAUUGGAAGAAGCAUCAAGAAAAGACAAAUUUUCCGAGACGCUGUGCCUGAGGAGAGUGGGUAGAGGGAUGUGGCCACUGCCGACCGCAGGGACGGACAUGGAAAUGUAACACGGGCUCACGCCUGUGUGUGGGAAGAGCCCCGCCCGCCCUGUCGAUGAAUGUCGUGUCAUUAGUGGAAAGGAAAGAGGGAAACAGAUAGUGACUUUCCUUCGGCGUGGGUGUGGUGGUGCACAUUACCCUCCGGCUGUUUGCACCCUCCUGUGGCCAACAACCAAAAUAAAGCCAGUCGUUAUUUUG
rnacentral:lncRNA from 1 species